UGUUCCAUGUUUAUUACGAAAAUGUGUGCUGUCCUCUGCUUUAUAUUCCUGCAUUCAUGCUUUACUCUGUUUUAUAUUCCUUAUGGGUGCCGUAUCUAUGUUAUGUCAUCUGCUUCUGUGCUGUACUAUGUGUUUGUGUGAUAUCUCGUUACUUGAGCCGGGGGUCUUUCGGAAACAGCCUUUCUACCUCAGCAGAGGUAGAGGUAUGGACUGCGUACAUCUUACCCCCCCCAGACCCCACGUAAGUGGGAAUACACUGGGUUUGUUGUUGUUGUAGUCGCGAAUCGUCCGUUUUGCCUUAGCCUUUUCAACUUGUCUCUAGCAAUCUAUGAGGCAUUGCUAGGAAGGAAUUGGUCCCUUAUUUCCUUCUUCAACUUUUCCCAAGUAUCAAUUCUGGGUCGGCCAACACCUCGUCAUUCGUGUUCCGAGUCCACCACAAUUUCGCAUCACCCGUCAAGUACAUCGUGGUGAUGUUCACCUUGUCUGUUUCAGCAACUCGGGCAGUAGAGAAAUACUGCUCCAUGUCCCACAGGAAAUUCUCGAACUCCUUGGCACUUCUACUACCAUCGAAAGGUUUAGGCUCCGGAAUUUUAACUUUGGAACUACCUUUAUGAGACUGCCCAGAUGCAGCCCACUGCACGUCGCAGCACCAAAAUUUCUGCCUACAGAUUUUCUGUGACCUUGCCUUGGUCCUGCACUUGCAACAUUAAGGCCUCGCGUGUAUUUAGAAACUCCGCAUUUUGUUCAUCAGAUUGGGCACGCAACAGUGCCAGUUCUUCCUUCAAGGCAUUGAACUGAGUUAUCAAAUCCACCAGGUCUUCACUUUGUUCGAGUUCGUCAGUAAUGUCGAUGAAGUUUCAAACCCGUGUAACAUACUCGUUUAGUUGAGCGACAGUCACCAAUUUCGUAUAACAAUGCUCUGAUACCAGUUGAGACAGGGGCGUUCUCUUUUUCGCAACACCACUGCUUGGCAGUCGUACAACACUGCGCAACUUUAGCCACACACACUGCACAGUCUACGUAGAAUAGACUAAGGUUGCAGAAACAUAAAAACACUCAACAAUAUUACAGGAAACAAGUUCUCAACCUUUUAUUCUCUUAGAAUUAAAAAGGACAAUGUCACACGAAUUGUACAAAGACGAAUACAACACUCACUGCCUUGUACAAUUUCCAGCAACACAAUAAAUAGACUGCACAUGGGCAGUUACAACAGUUACAACAAUGACCCCUGGCAGCAUGUCAUUGGACAUGGCCUGCAUGCCUAUCACAGACUCAACAACCUAAUCCAAGCAUUCAAAUACAUUUUGAAAAUCACACAUUUACAACAUUCAAAAUUCAAGCUACCAACUGCACCAUGUGAUAAGCACAUGGGCAACCUUGCUCCUUUAGCCAAUUUUGCUAUGUUCAACACUUAGCCAAUUUCCAGCUUUCCAACACUUGGAACAUUUCGUCUUUGCCUUGUCAUGUCUUUCAGCCACGCCUUUGCCUUGCCUGUGUCCAGGGGCGGAUGCACAACAUAAAGUGCGGGUUCCCGGGAACCAUAACUUUCGUCCGUUUCUUGAAUUUAUAUUGAAAAAACUAGUAAAUAUAUAAAAAUUUUAAGUUGGGAACCCUCAAACAAAGUGUUUUAUUGGUCUAGUGGUAAAAAUUAUAGGUUGGGAACUCACAACCUUUAAAUUCUAGAUCCGCCUCUGCCUGUGUCAUGUCACUGCCUGCGCCUGCUCCUGCGCCUGCGCUGUGACGCUAUCUUGACCAUGCUAAUGCCUUCGUCUGUGCCAUGCCAUCACCUGUGCCAUGCCCGUGCCGAUGUCAUGCCCGUGCCAUGCCUAUGUCACUGCUUGCACGCAUGCCCACAUAGGUGCGAUGCCCCUGUCAUUGCCUCGUGCGCUCAAGGCUGCCUUGCCAUCACUCCAGCACCUUGGUCAUCAUCAACUGCCUGCUAUCUCAUAGCCAUGCUAUCUCAUAGCCACCAACAACACAUUGCUUGCCUUAGCACUUAUCAAGGCCAAUAUGCAACUUGACAUGGCUUGUCAGCCAUCAUGUCUUAGACUGGGGGUUCUAAUAACUUGCUAGUAUCAAUCAUUUGCAUGCUCUUAUUGUUGUCUGGAAAUCCACUUGUCAUUUAGAAUAACCCAGAGUACUAUGAAUUCCCCAACAAAUAAAAAAAUUGAGAUGAGGCAUAUAAUUAUCUAAAUUCGUGAUUUGUAGUUGAAGAGAAAUAGGAUAUCCUAUUCAUUAUGGAACUGUAGAUCAUGGAUAUGUUAAGGGACAAGGGCGGAGCUAUAGCCACACGUGGUCAGAUGAACAUCCUUCGCCGUAAAAUUGCACGGUGUGUAUAGAUCAAAUUCUUUCUUUAAGAGGUAUGUGUUAAACGUUGCAGACCCUUGACGCAAGCUGUUCCUCUGGGCAGUGGUUAAGGGUGUGCAUUUUUAUCCACAAGAUUCCGUGGUCGGACCUGUCCUAGUGCGCAAUUUUUUUGAUUUUAUUUUGACACCAGAUCAUUGGCACACGCUUACACUUCGUUUUAUUUUGAUAGAGAUCACUGGUCACAUGCACCAAUCACUCCUCAUGCAAAUAUAAUUAUUUUAGUUAAUUAAGUUUAGUUUACCUAAAAUUAUUAAAUAUUAGUUAAAUUUCUUAAUAUUACAAUUUCAGACAAUACUUCCUCUAGUCCAUAAUAACUUAAUUUGUGAGGCAAUGCACAUCUUAUAAGAAAAAAAUUUGCACAUUAAUUGAAACCACUUUCCAUUUUUGCCCUUUUAAAGCCAAAUUUAAAUCAUAAAUAUGAGCGAUUAAGUCUCUUGAACUAAUCAACUAAUCAACUGGAAAAUACAAAUGAAAAGACAAAAAUGAAAAAAAUUUCCAACAACUCUCUUGAAGAUUGAACAAUUGAGUUACUUUGAAUGGAAAAAUGGCUCACAAAUUAAGUUAAUAUGAACUAGAGAGUAUAUGUAUCUCUCUCUUUGUGUGUGUAUAUAUAGAAUAAAUAAAUUAUUUUAAUUUUGAAACAUGUUGUAUGGAGAUAAAAUUGUAUUUAUAAUUUAUCCUAUAUGUAAUGCGUUUUUGAAGGGUUAAAAAGUCUUAUCAACAUUUUAGGUUAAUGUUUUGUGUGUGUGUUGUCUCUCUCUCUCUCUCUCUCUAUAUAUAUAUAUAUAUAUAUAACUUUAACUUCAAAGCUAAAAUCAAUAAAUCCAUGUUAUCUGAUUUUUUUUUUUUUGAAAUAUCUUUUGCUUUGAUUUGUGGUUUGUGUUUAGUAUAAACCUAGACUAGAUUUUGUAUUGGGCUUAAAUAGAUGUUGGAAAUCGUUUAUGGCUGAAUCGCUAGGUUAAACAAGAUAAUAUUGAACUCUCUAAUUAAAAAAAAAAAAUAAAAUUGAACUCCCUUGAUAAAAUUUCUAGCUCUGCCACUGUUAAGGGGCCAUUUAAUCUUGAGAUAAGAUCCAUAAAAACCCAUAAUACAACAUCCAAUGGGAGUUUCGUGCAAAGCUGGGAACGCACAUUAAUUUGUUCUGGUCUUUCAUUGCGGAACAGAAUAUCUACUAAGUUCUGUAUUACAAUCGUGGGUGAGGUUUCUAGAUGGAACGCCAUCUUCUAGGUGGUUUAAUUUAUACACCUCAAGAAGGAAAAAGGAUGGAGAAUAACUAGUAAAGGGAAUGUCGUGGUAGUCCUUUGCUGUUCUCCCCUUAAGUUAUCCUGUUUCUGAAGCCUGAGCUCCCGUUCUCGGCAUUACAAUCGAUCUAAUUUAAUUUUUCAUUGCAUGUAUCAUUUGACUCUGUCUGGAUAGGAAAACAAGAUAAUCUUAAUGGAAUGGGCAGAAAGAAUACCAGAAGACUUCCUCCCUUUGUCAUCGUUUACUUGGAAACUUAUCUGGAACCAUAAGGCUCUUCCUGGGGUUGAUUUCUUUGUCGUGACUGCAGUGCUUGAUGCUAUUUUGACUCGAGACAAUCUCCAGAAGAGGGGUAGAAAGUUCACUGACAAAUGUCUUUUGUGUGACUAAAUGUCAGUUUGUCAAUCCUUAUCUAUUGGACUGCCAAGUUAUCAGUAAUUUUGCACUUGUUUCCCUGUACUUUGGCUUUCAAUGGGUACACAUUCUCUAGCACAUGGCGAGGGUGUUUGGAUUGACUUAUUUUUAUGUGCUUUUGGCUUUUAAAUACUUUUUUUAUUUUUGGAGGUGUUUGACAAAGAUAAAAAAUGCUUUUAAGCAUUUUACUUUAGGCUUAAAAAAUAAAAAAAAAAAAAAAAGCCAAAAGCCAAAAGUAGGUUGUUACCUACUUUUGACUUUUGGCUUUUAGCCUUUACGGCACUUGAAAAAAGCCUAUCCAAACACCCCCGACAUGAACUCUUGAUUUAAAGUUGGGCUGAUUGGUCAUACUCCCGAACUUCAUUAUGUGGACCCUAGGGAAAUCUUGAAGGACAGAGAUAGUGGAUGUUUCAAGGAUUUUUCAUAGUUCCAAACUGAAAUUGUGGUGAUCUUUUAAGACAGCUCCUUUUUUUUUCUUUUUUUUUCUUUUGAGAUAACUAAUAAGUAAAGAAGUCAGUGCAGAGGGAAACACUGCUGUAUCUUUGUUCUUUCUUGUUUCUAGAUAGUUCAUUCGAUCAAAAGACAAUAAUACUAAAACUAAUUUUAAAAAAGUAUAACAAGAAGUUUUUUUCUACUUUGUCGAGUCUGUUUGUAUUCAUGACUUUAUUGGCUGAUCAGAGAUUGUCUACAUAUGCUAAGAGGUUUAUAUUUGGCUGGUUGUUAAAAAGUUAAAGAUUAGUUUUUAGUAGUCUGGCAUCAUGUAUCUUACAAUUCUAUCUAGGGUCUGUCCUAAGAGUGUUAUGGGAGUAUGGAAUACUAGUCCCUUUUUAUUUACAUUUCCUUGAAAAAACUUUUGCCUUUCACUAGAAAACCAUCACACCUCCAUUGUUCUCAAGUAGGAAAGCUGAAUAACUAGAUUUUCCUGUUCAUGUGCGAAUUGGCACUUCUGUGAUCUUUCAUGAGUAACUUCAGUAUCUGUCAUGAAAGUCUUACCAGUGCAAAUUCAUGCUUCAUUCAUGCUGCAGAUACUUGAAAAGGGGAGUUAAUGAUCAUGGAAGAGUGGCAAAUGAUGUUGAAACUGAACAAAUUGUGCUUGAUGAAGAAGCUGGCUCAUGCAAAGGAAAAAUGAGCUCUGUUGUUCAAAUGAGGGGCUCAAUUCCUCUUUUCUGGUCACAAGAAGCUUCAAGAUUCAGCCCAAAGCCAGAUAUAAUCUGUAAGAGCAACUAAAUUCAUCUACCUGGUUGUUGCUAGAAAAUUUAAGUUGGAGUCAUGUUCUGACUGGAAUGAGCUUGCUUGUCUCCUUUCUGAUACAAGUACAAAGAUAUGAUCCUACUUAUGAAGCAACCAGACUGCAUUUUGAAGAUCUUGCAAGGAGAUAUGGGAACCCAAUAAUCAUACUUAAUCUGAUCAAGGUUUGUGCAAAAAUGAAUCUUGUGGUCUCCAGAAAAUUCACAUUGUGUUUGCUGUUUAAGUUUAUUAAACUAACUUUGGUUUGUCCACCUCUUGCGCACUAUUUGCUUCGAAUGGUGCUAGUCUUUGAAUUCCAGCAUCAAAUAUUUGCCUUUCAAUAUUUUCUUUAAAUUUUGUCAUUUAUGAAUUCAAUGACUGCAGACAGUUGAGAAAAGGCCACGAGAAAUGAUGCUUAGACGCGAGUUUGCAAAUGCAGUUGGGUACCUAAAUCAGAUACUUUCCGAAGAAAAUCACCUAAAAUUUAUACAUUGGGAUUUUCACAAGUUUGCAAAAAGGUGUAUAUUAUUUUCCCCGAAUUAUACUAAUAAGUUAAUCUUUUAAGUGCUUUUUUGCUAAUUUUCCUCUUUUCCCAUGUUAAGCAAGUCUGCGAAUGUAUUAGCAGUUUUGGGUGGUGUGGCGAGUGAAGCACUUGAUUUAACUGGAUUUUACUACAACGGAAAGCCAGUGGUUGUUAAGAGGCGGGCUACACAACUCAGCCGUACAAGCACUGCAAGGUAUGUUCAUGCAUGUCACGCCCCGAAAUGGUACCGACAAACAAGAACCGUAUGCCCCUACUUUACAAACGAUCUAUAGAUAUACAAGAUUAUGGGAUAAUAAUGAGCAGGAUAUCCAAUAAGAUUUGUAUGUACACACGAGGGAGUUAUAUUAACAAAAACUGUACUAUACAAUACUGUAUGAUGUCCAUGAAGCCUCUAGCCAGUUUAAUACAAUAUACUACUAAUAACUAGUUGGGACAGGGCCCGAAAUGCCCAACUAGAGACCUGCAUAUACUACUAAUAACUAGUUGGGACAGGGUCCGACAUGCCCAACUAGAGAUUUGUAUAUACUACUAAUAACUAGUUGGGACAGGGCCCGACAUGCCCAACUAGAGAUCUGUACAUAUUUUAAAAAAUGCUAGACAUAGACGGACUUUAGAUUGAGAUGGAGCUCACUAAAAUAUCAGCCGGAUAAAGCCUAAUGUGGACGUUUGCUAUCCUGGAAUUUGAGCCUGCAUCAAUAGAACGUGUGCCCCCAAGACGUUAGUACAUACUAGUAUGAAAGAUAACAACUGGACAAGUGCGGAAGUGAUAACGAUCCUAGUCGGAGGUGACUAAAAUCGAUAUCGAAAUGGGGAAUUAAAUAACAAAAUUAAAGAAUAGUUGAGAAAUAAGAGGUGAGGAGUGAAGAAAGAAAGGCAUUGAACAACAAGUAAACCAAGAGAGAAGGAGAACUCAAUCAAAUGCAUAACUCGUUGAUCAAUCAAGCGAAAAAGAUAACACAAGCAAUUCGGGAAUCCACCCUAAUCACUCGAUCUAAGCUAACAGUUGGAAUUGAACCCAAUUACUACCCUAAACUAGAGUAACUAAAUAUCAAGUCUAUUCAAGACGAUUCAAUCAUCAAACUCUAAGUGCUGAAAAUGGCUAAGGCAACUAUUUAUAGUCAUUGCCUUUACAAAAAUAGCCUAUUACAAAAAGAGCCCAAAAGUGACUAUCUAUAUAUAUAUAAUAACAGAGGCAAAACUGCCACAUGUCAUAACAAGAAAAAAACAGGUUUAAAUUAUUAAAAAAUAAAUAUUAAUUCACUCAAAAUUAUUUAAAAAAAAAAAAAGUUAAUCCACAAAAAAACUCACAAAUAAAAUAAUAACGGUAUAAAAAAAACUGCCAUAUACUAAUUAAGAUUAUGAAAAACUGUCACAUGGGCAAGUAAAAACACAUUUUUUUUACGUAAGAAAAAUUAAAUCAUGUUUUUUUACUUCUUUUUUUAUAUAAAAAAUAGUAGGCCAUUAAACUUAAAAAUAAAUUUAAUUUUAAAAUUCAAAUGGUUAUAUUUAAAAUUUGCAUUUAUACUGUUUAAUUUAACUUAAUGUUUAUUUUUUUGAAUUUGAGUUAAGAUAAACAUGUGAUUCUUUAGAUAAAGAUACAAAUUCAAUUUUUUUUUUUUAAAAUGCCACAUGGGCAAGUUAAAACACUUUUUUUUACUUACGAAAAAUUAAAUCAUGUUUUUUUUUACUUCUUUUUUUAUAUAAAAAAAUAGUAGGCCAUUAAAAUUAAAAAUAAACUUAAUUUUAAAAAUCAAAUGGUUAUAUAUACAAUUGACAUUGAUACUACUUAAUUUAAUUUAGUGUUUAUUUUUUGAAUUUGAGUUAAAAUAAACGUGUGAUUCUCUACAUUUUUACUAGUUAAUUUAAUUUAAUGUUUAUUUUUUGAAUUUGAGUUAAAAUAAACAAGUGAUUCUUUACAUUUAUACUAUUUAAUUUAAUAUUCAUUUUUUGAAUUUGAGUUAAGAUAAACUUGUUAUUCUUUACAUAAAGGUAAAGUUUCAAAUUUAUUUUUUAAAAGAAAAAAACUGCUACAUUAGCAAGUUAAAACACAUUUAGCAAGUUAAAACACACUCUUUACGUAAGAAAAGUUACAUCAUAUUUUUAUACUUGUUUUUUGUUAUAUAAAAAAUAGUAGGCCAUUGAAGUGAAAAAUAAAUUUAAUUUUAAAAUUCAAAUGGUUAUAUUUAAAAUUUAUAUUUAUACUAUUUAAUUUUAUUUAAUGUUUGAUGUUAUCCGACGCGCAUCUUGAUGGGGCAUGCUACCAGAUUUUCUGAUGGUUUUGCAGCCAAGGCGUUGUUGGACUCUCUUGCUGCCCGAGCUUAAUACAAAUCUGAGCCUCUAUUUUCUCUAUUCAUCUUGGAUUUGUUUUAUAUUUAGGGCGUGUUUGGUAUGAAGGAUGGUCCUUGGUCCUGAGCCGGGGGUCUAUCGGAAACAGCCUUUCUACCCCCGUCGGGGUAGUGGUAUGGACUGUGUACAUUUUACCCUCCCCAGACCCCACUAUGUGGAAAUAUACUGGGUAUGUUGUUGUUGUUGUAAUUUAAUUUAAUGUUUAUUUUUUGAAUUUGAGUUAAGAUAAACAUGUGAUUGUUUAGAUAAAGAUAAAGAUUCAAAUUUAAUUUUUUUUAAGAAAAAAAUUAGAGUAAUUGCAUUGCAUUCUCUAUUUAAGCACCUUUUUGGGGCAUUUUUCAAUUAAACUCCAGUUUUUCAAAUCCUAAGCAAGUCUUACGGUUUUCGUCCGUGCCUUCUUAUUUUGGUAUUUUGAUUGAAACUGUCUUUUAUAUGGAUAAAGUCCCAUAAUAAAAAUCCUAUGUAUCACAAGCAGCAGCCAGGGGCAUUGACAACAAUUUCUUAUUCUUUUUAUUGUGUAUCUACUCUAAUUUAUUUAUCGUUUUGAUUUGAAUAUGUUGGUGAGCAAAGAUUUUCUUCUUUUUCUGCUAUUUUUUAUGAGAACCUUUUCAAUUUAAUCUUUAGUAUCGAAACUGUUUUUUCUGGAAUUUGAAAUAUAUUUUUGCAGAAUAUGAUUUGCUGUCAACAAGUUUAGGAUGAUAAUUUACUAUAAAAGUUUGUUUUAGCAGGAAAACUGAACUCAUCUUUAUGUUCACUACUCAUGCUACAUUAUAUUAUGUUUAGAAUGAUAUAGUAAUUUACUAUAAAAGUUUGUUCUAUAGUCAGAAUAAUCAUUAUCAACUUAACGUUCAUCAUGUUACUAUUAUGGUAAUAAUCUUUUUAUCACGCUUGAAUUAUCACACAUCAAAGAUCCACAACAUAAGUUAAGUCGUAUUUCUUUUAUGAAAAAGAAUAUCUAUGAAACAGUUUUAAUUUUUAAAGAAGAUAAAACUUUACACUUGACACUUAAGUUGUUUGACCUGUUCAUUUUUCAUUUUUCAUUUCUAAAGAUUCAUUUUUAAUGUAAAGUUAUUAUAUAGUAAAUCUCAUAUUUGUUGUGUUUGUUUAUGGAAAUUAAAUAUCCGAAUACGUUGAUGCACAAUGCCACAUAAUUAGAAUUUUGUAAUAGUUAUGUUGAUUUUAAGAGUAUAGUUGUGACAACUACUUUAAAGACCUAAAAAGAUAGAUUUGUGGUUUUUAUGCAAAUAUAAAUGAAUCUUUUUUUUUCAAUAAAACGUAAAUAUUAAAAUAUCAAUGAAUUUGAAUACACCUAAAAAACACUUAGUUGUAAUUUAAUCAUGGAAUUAACUACCCUAAGCCUCAUCCCAUCUAAGUAAAAAUGUCACCAACAAACAUAGAACAAUCCCUAGCCUCUUUAGAAUCUCUCUAUAUAUACUUGCCUGUCUUUUCUCUAAUGAUCAUUUGUAUUUGAUGCACUAAAAACUCAACAUGCAAAAUCUUACCAGCAUAGAUCUAUUUGUAUUCCUAGCUUGCUACAUAAAAUACAGCAUUUCACCAUAACACCUAGCAACAACUAUUUAAAUGUAUAAUUAACACUUAUUAUGCAUAGAUUUAAAUAUUUUGUUUAUUUUAUUUUGAAAUUAUGUUCAUACAGAAAUUUAUGAAUUAUUAAGAUUGUUCUUAUUUACUAUGCAAAAUUAAAGCACAAGUUAGUAAAACUAAAAAAGCAAAUUGCAGACCUACAGGUGUAUCAAGUAUGUCACAAGUGAAAAAAAUAUGAAUAUGAUAAUAUUAAUUUGCAAUUCAAUUUAUAAUCACUAUAUUAAUUGUCUCAAAUUUAUCGCGUUUAGGUUAAUAUUAAUAUUAAUCUCAACAAAAAUAUAAAUUUAAAUAUUAAAGCAAAUAAAUUGAAUAUGAUUUUAAAAACUAGAUACGACAACCAUAUUAUAACCGUGCAUCGCGCGGGAACUAUACUAGUUUUACAAAUAACCCACAAGGGACCUUCUUGAUUGCCCAAAUGGCAUCUUGAUUACCUAUGACCUUGUGUAUUUAUUUCGUCAUGCCUUCCUCCGGGCUCUAAGCUAUCAUCCAUAUAUGGAAGCGUUUCCUAAUGUGCUCCAAGCUAACCGUGCUCGUAUCAGGAAACUCAUAUGAAUCAAAUACCAAAGUGAAAGAAGCAUGAACAUACAAGCAACAAAUAUACGAUAUGAAAACUGUAGUCUAUCGCUAACUUUAUUAGCUCAUCAUAUGUCUAGGGGAGCGUUCAUUAUAAUAUAACACCUAUAAUUUCCCUAGGUGAUGUACUUAAACUAUUUGUAGUGCGAAUAAUCAUAGGAUGUCCUACCAAAGACAAUUUGAGUCAAAUAUAAGACGUAUGUUGCCCAAAUGCAUAUGUAUAUAACUGUAGUUGUAGUCUGAUACAAGGUUCGCCCCCUUGGGUUAGCUAUAAUGGUCUAGUCUCGAUCCUGUGCCAAGUAAAACCUAUAUACCCUCCCGUUGUGAACGUAUAUCAUAUAAUGCCUUAAAGACAUGUGAAUUACGAGAAUGAUCAUUUAGAUAAUGCAUACAAGUGCAACUAUGCUAUUGCUAUUUGACAUAUAUACCAUGUGACCUAAGAAUUUCAAGUUAAGAAACUAAUAUGGAAUAUUGUGAAGACUUGACAUAAAGAGAGCAAGACCGAUACUUAUAAGCUUGAGGGUAGGACGUGGGAACGAUAUAUAAGACAAAUAAGGGUUCUAUCCUCGUAUUUCAUGAGAAUUAUAUUAACGUUGAUAAAAGGAGCACAUGACGUAGGUGGUUCCUUAGUGGUGAGGAAAUAUUUAGCUUUACAUACCUUUAGUACUUUACUCGCUACGAUAGUGUUCUGAGCCCCAAAUAAUUCGACCCGCGGAAGUGUAGCGUUUAUCUUUCCAACCACCAAUUCCGCCAUCCAAUAGGCAAUUUAGCUACAAAGAUAACAUAUACAUCCAUCAAUAACCCAUAGAUACAUUUGACAAUUUAUUCCAAUAAUCUUCACUUAUGCUCGAAAUCAAUCGAAUUUCUAAAUAGGAAUCCGAUAUGAGUUCUUUAGGUUUCCCAACUUAUGUUGUCCAAUACCAAGUUUGCCCAAUUGGUUGGAAUUCCUAAAAAAAAUUCCCUUUCUAUCCCAAUUCCAUCGCUUUUCAUCUUUUUUCUCAAGAACCAUUGUUAAAGGCCCAUGUCAAAAAGUAAUGAAAAGAUUCAGAUUAGAUAUCCCCAAAUACUUAUCUAUAAUUAAGUUCAAGAAAGGGAUAGAGAAUUUAUCUCUUGGAGUUCAAAUUCCAAUUAUAGAUUUUAAAUCGAUUCCUUGAUGUUGAAAGAAGAAACGGGAAAGAACAAUAGAGAAUCGAUACUUGUAGUGUUAUUGCUUCUCGUUUUGGAAGUACAAGCAAAGCCCCCAACCAAUUGUUUUCUUUUUGUACUUUUGCAAGAAGAAGAAGAUGAAAUUUAAGGGCAAGUAGUGCACCUCGUUUCUUGCUUUUCUUAUUCCCAGCCAAAAUGUUCCUUUUCCAUUUCAUUUCAUUUAUGUAGUAUAAGAGAAGUCAAAGUGGUCCCCGCCACUUACUAAAUGUGGAGUAUUUUAAAAAAGAAUCACUUAAUACUAUAUAUUUUUACCUUAUAGUACAUAGGCAAGUUUUACACUUCAACUAUAAAUCUUUGUUAGUCAUUCUACAGAGUGGCAGUACCUUUGGCCAUGCUGUAUGGAGCAGAGUAUUGGUCAGUCAAGAACUCCCACAUUCAAAAAUUGAAGGUAGCGGAAAUGUGGAUGUUGCGUUGGAUGUGUGGGCUUACUAAGGGUGAUAGAGUUAGGAAUAAGACUAUCUGGGAGAAGGUGGGAGUAACUGCGGUGGAGGACAAGAUGCGGGAAAUUAGGUUGAGAUGGUUCGGGCAUGUGAUGAGGAAGGGCAAGGAUGCCCCAGUUUGUAGGUGUGAUAGACUAGCUUUGGAUGGUUUCAGGCAGGGUAGGGAUAGGCCGAAGAAAUAUGGGAGAGAGGUGAUUAGGCGUGACAUAGAGCAGUUACAGCUUACUGAGGACAUGAUCUUAGAUAGAAGGUAUGGAGGACACGAAUUAGGUUAGAGGACUGGUGCAUGUGGGCGGGUCGUAGCCGGUAGCUAGGAGAGCUUUGGGGUAGCCAAACUGUCUUAGAGCUAUGUCCAUAGGUUGGAGCUGCUAGUAGGAGGGUAUUGGGGGGGGUGCCUUUGGUUCUUUAGUGUAGGGUAUUACUUUGUGGGUGUCUUAUUUUUGUUAUUCCAUCUUGUUUCAUGCUUUAUUACGAAUUUGUUUACUAUUCUAUCUUGAGCCGGGGGUCUAUCGGAAAUAAUCUUUCUACUUCUCCGGAGAUAGUGGUAUGGACUGCGUACAUUUUACCCUCCCCAGACCCCACUAUGUGGGAAUACACUGGGUUUUUUGUUGUUGUUGUAGUCAUCCUUAUAUACCUUGACUGAUUUAUAAAUUCUGGAAAUUUCAGAAUUGUGAUAUUUAUUAUAACUCCCCAGAAACUUCUCAAAUGUCACAUUAUUUAUUCCGCUGAAAGAAAAACUCGGAGAUCACUAACUCAGUAUGUAGCGCAGCCUGUAACUCUUUAUAAAAUCUCGAGUUGGAUUCGUUUAAAAUACUAAACUUAAUUUAAUUUUUUUUUUCCCGAGGUGCUACAAGUCUAUUGAGAUUUGUUGGAACAAUGGAGCAUCAUAAUUAUUAGACUUGUAAUGAGUUACUUUGAAUCUGAAUAUCUUGUUUACCGAACUUGCAUGGUUUGACUUGCAACGGGUAAGGUGAGGCUAGUUAUAUAUCAUGUAACUAAAUUCUUUCUCUAUCCCAUGCUGCUCAUUUUGUCUUUGGUCUCUCUUUCUUGCCUAUAUUGUGUUUUCCGCCCUUCCGUGAAGUUGACGAUAAGGAUGUUCAAAAGCUUGUAUACUAUUUCCCCCCUCUUCCUUCUUAUUUGGCACUCUCUUUUCUCAUUUGUCUGUUUCAUUACUGUUGCUUCUCAGAGUGCUGCAAAGAGAAAAUAGUAGUACUAAUUGAUGGGUAAGGAGUGUAAUAUUGAAAUUGGAUUACCUCUCUAUAUGUUAACCUGUCUGUAUCAAAGAGGUGUAGUUUUCAUUCAAAACUUGUCUAGUGGAUAACUGUUUAUUUUCUGAAGAUAGGUACCUAUUGAGGUUUUAAAUCAUCAACUUAGCAUUUAAAUUAUACAACUGAAUGAAGUCUUAGAUCUAAAUAAGAUAAGAUGUAGCACCGGAAGAGAAGAGAGAAAAGGGUGGUGGGUGUGUAGAAUAGUCAAAAAUAGGAGGAAUUGGAGAAAAUAAGAGCUGUUAUUUCAGAAAGGGUUGUUGAUCAAGUCAAAUUAUAGUUAAGUUUCCAAAUAAAGUGUACGAGGGUUUUAUGUAUAUGAUAGUAAGUUCUGAGUAAGUCAAAGCUCAUAAAAUUACUAGAACUCUACCUCUAACUAAAAAAUAGAGUCAUGCACCCUUUGGGUGUGGCCUUGUGGUUAGUGAAGUGCUUAAUCCUUGGUGGACAAAGUUACCCGAUACUUGUGCUAGUGGGAGGUAGUAGGUACCCGGUGGAAUUAGUUGGUGCAUGCAAGCUAGUCCGGAUACAUAGUUAUUAAAAUAGAAAGAAGAUAAGAGUCAUACUCUUCUCGUAGAUUAUUUGAUCUCAUCUUUGUGGAUAAGUAUAUCUUUAUCUAGAUCCUUUUUGGUACACCUCUUGUAUAACUGGGCUUUUCUAUUAUUAACAAAAUUAUACUUUACUAACGUUAAUCCGAAUGAAUAGUCUUAGUCUUUUAUAUUUUUGGUGUAAACAGGAUAUGGUGGGGCAUAUAGAACUUUUGUUGAUUUUAUAGCGAAAUUGUAAAGCUGCAUAGACUAGUUCUUGUGGCUUUCUGGUUUUUGCCCUAUGGGAUGUAAUUGCCCAGUUUCUUCACUGUUUGGGUGAUGGAAUUUUGUGAAUAUACAGAUAACUUUUCCUCAAAAAAAAAAAAAAAGAUAAAGAUUAUUUCUAAAUAAUAGCAAUGUUAUCACAGACUUGCAGAGGAAUAGAAGUAAGAGGAAAUGAAUUCGUGAAUAGCUAUUAAUCAAGUCUAGUGGUAUUCUAAGUCUUUUAAACAAAGUAUUGGAAUGUCCUACUUGUAGAAUUGUGAAUCUGAACAAAAAUGAAAUCUUACACUUGUAGAAUUCUAAGUGUAAAGACUAGACUAGAUUAAAAGCUUAUUAAUGAAUGGAGCCUUAUCUUCAAAUAAGACUAAACUCUGUUUCUAAAUAAAGAUAAAGAAAAUAAAAACUAAAGAUAAUAUUACUGCAAUCUUUUACUGAGCUAUAUCUAGAUACCAAGUAUCAUAAUAGUGUUUGCAUUAUUGAUUCCUUCAGCAAUUUUCUGGUAACUGAAAUUUCUACUUAAUUAAUAAUCCCUCCCCCAUUUUUAAGAUGAAUUUUUUCUGAGCACAAAGAUUAAGGAAUUAGAGACUUGAAACUUGUACUCCAAAACAAGAGAUAGAUAUUUUUGUGGCUAUAAAUCAUCUCAUUGGGAUGAUGGGAGUAAUAUACUUUUCAAUAGACAAUUCUAACAUUAUUCUGGCACUUGGACUUUUGAGAGCGUGGACCUUUGUUAAAUGGUAUUCAUGUAUAGUUGCUCGAGUUUGAAGAAGUUGACAUCCAGACAAAUAUAAGUUAAUUGUCGUUAUUCUAGUCUCAGCCUUUGUAUGACCGUUCCACAUUAUUUGCUAUUAAAGACACAUCUUGCUUGAUUCAUAAGAUAAUGCUGCUACUCUGUUGUGGGCCUUGUGGCCAAUAUGUUUCUUUGUUUCCAUGUAACAUUCAGAUCUUCUAUCAGGUACUAUUUCGUUUAGAGUGAUUGAGUUGCUAAGGGGAGCUUAUCCUUGUGACUUUUGUCUGGAGGAUGGACAUUUAACUGCGUUGAUGCACAAUGGAUUUAUGACUAGAUAUAACGGAUUCAUGGUGGUUCGUGCAGGGAUUCUUCUCUUAGAGAUUUGAGGGCAAAUUCAGGAGAGCUCUCAAGGAUUGGAAGCAACAAUGAAAUUCUGAAUUCACUGAUCAAACAAGAAAGAGAGGCUGAUAAUAGUCAACAAAUUGGCAAAGAUAAUGAUGAGAAUGCAGCACCGAGGUUUCAAAGUGGAGUGCUGCGAACCAACUGUAUUGAUUGCUUGGACCGAACAAAUGUCGCCCAGUAUGCUUAUGGUCUUGAAGCUUUAGGUCGCCAACUCCAUGCUAUGGGCUUGACUGAUCAACCUAAAGUGGAUGCUGACAGUAGCAUUGCUGCUGCUCUCAUGGAUAUGUACCAGGGUAUGGGUGAUGCUCUUGCUCAACAAUAUGGUGGCUCGGCUGCUCACAACACCGUAUGUUCACUGAUUUUACUGUCCGACUAAUAAACCAAUUUCUCUUAAUAUUUUUGAAUAAGUGUUGCUUCCUAGUAAUUGUUCAUAUUGUUGAAUAGUUAUUUUGGUUAAACUAGGUGUUUCCGGAGAGGCAGGGCAAGUGGAAAGCUACAACUCAGUCGAGGGAAUUCCUCAAGUCUAUCAAGCGAUAUUACAGCAAUGCAUAUACAGAUGGUGAAAAACAAGAUGCAAUUAACUUGUAUAUUCAUCCCCUAAACUUUUUAACUUCCAUGUAAUUUUCCUUGUUAUGAUGCUGCAUGUAGGUGGUUAAGAAUUGCCUAAUCUGAGUUUGUGGAAUUCUCGACAUAUAGGUCUCUGUUGGAAUUUUCAUUCUUAAAAAUUGUCAUUUUUUUUUUUCAGAUUCUUGGGAUAUUUCCAGCCUCGGGAAGGGAAACCCGCACUUUGGGAGCUGGAUUCUGACUAUUAUCUUCAUGUAUCUGGCAUAGGAGACGAUCUUAUCCCAGAUUAUGGGUACUUUGUUGCAAAUUUAUUUCUUGUGAAAUAUCUAGAGCAGAUGCUGUCUAUUUAAAUUGUUGUGCGAAGUCCAUUUAAAUUGGCUACUUUUGAGUAGAGGUCAAAUCAAAACCCAUUUUUUCUGGAAGUUUCAAUUUUCUCUGUCAAGUGUAUUCCUUUUUUCCAGUUUAUCCUUCUUUCUUUUUGUUUUGGGUUUACGACAACAUCACCCAUUUGAUAAAGUUUUUUUUUUUUUCUUAAUUAGACUAUGAAGUGUUUUUCAAUAUCCUACCAUUGAAAAGGUACCAUUUUCCCCCCUUUUUCAGUAAAGAAAUUUCAACUUUAUCAAGAGGCAACUUUCUCCAUUGACAAACUGGAAUUUAACUAAAAUAAAACUUGAAUUCGCAACUUAAUGCUCUUGCCAAUUAGAGGAGGAUACUUAAAUUGGGAUGGAAGAGUAGUGGAAUAAAAAAUAUAAAUAUUUCUUCCUUUUGUUGCGCUACGAGCGUGAUGAGUUGUGACUAUUGAGAUGCUGCACUCAAAUUAGUAACCUUUGUGGAAGUAAAAAGGAUAAGGAUUUUUGGCUGCACAUAUGGACUCUUUUUCCUGUCAACCUACAAAAUCAAUUGUCUUUUUGAGCAACGUGAAUGGGAUUCUUAACUAAACAGAAUGUUUCUGAAGUUGAUUUCAGUCCCCGGUUUUGUCAACUGUGUAUUUGUAAAUAAAGGAAAGAUUCAAGAAGAGAAUUCUCUUUUGUCGUAUGCUUGUCUACUCACUGAUAGAUGCUAUUUUAAUUCAUGGCACAGUUUGUCAUUUGAUGGCAGUGCUGUUGGACAAGGAACCACACUAGUCCCUGUUCCAGCAUGCAGGGAGGAUUUCUUGCGCAUGAAGUUGACAUCAUUUGACAAGUUGCUUGAAAGAACAUGCUGCCAUAUUAAGAAUGUACGGCUCUGUAGUGAAACUGAUAAAAAAUCAGGGAAUUCUGGAGUGGCACCUGAUGCUGCGUAAGUGUUAGCUGUAGUUUAACAUAUAACUUAGUUUGGCGCUUCGUUUUCAACGUUUGUUUUCUGUAGUUUCCAUUUACAUGCUGGGAGAAUUAUAAUCGCAGCUUCUAUCUUUGUACAUUAAAAUAUUUGCCCUUAAAAUCAUGAGUUAUAACUAACAUGGCAUCUGUCAAUAAUGUGUCCGGAGAUACAAAUUGGCAUCGUGCCAACAAACAUUUAACUUAGUUCUCUCCUUCAUGCUCAUUAUAUUGAAAAAAUUCUGAGUCUUCAAUGUUGAGAUGCCUUCUGGGUCGAUUCUUAAUUUUUUUGUAAUCUCAUUUCUCUUCUUUGAGUUGAAGGGACAUGCUUAGAUGGUAAAACAAUGAAAUGAGGUGUACCUUUUUCUUUUUACCCAUCUUGCUUCGUCUCCCUCCAUAGUUUCUUUAUUAUUUUUCUUUCUUCUUCUUCUUCUUCUUUUUCUUCCAUCAAAUUUUAGCUGUAGUAUUAGUAAAUAAUUUUGUAUAGUCAGUCAUGAGAGGAACUUACAAGGUUGUAAAAAUAUUUUUGCAUCUUGGCUGAAUUGGCAAUUUUCCUCAUUCCUAAUUCAGUCUUUACAUCGCUAUUAAUUAACACAGGUCAAUUCUUAUUUUGUCACUAACUCCUUGAAUUGACACCUUUCCAUUAGUUGCUUAAUCCCAUUUAAUUUAAUACUUCUGCUAAAAGGAUUAUUGUAGUACUUAUAUUUUUACUUAGAACUUUUUUGUCGAAAUGUUCUACAUAUACUCUUAUGGUCAAGCAUUACUUCGACUCACCGUUGGUUUUCGAACUUUGUUAUGCUGUUAGUUUCAAUAGUGUAGGAGAUACUUGCUACACAACACCUUAUUGUUUUGGGGCGUGGUGGUUGUUAGAUACUAACCUUAAACCAUUUAGGCUAAUAAAACUAAUCCCUAAUGCUUAUUCAAAUGGAUAUAGAAGAUACUUCUAGAUUUUGUUUGAGCCGAGGAGCUUACGUGACAAAUGGAAAAGAAAAGUUGCGAACAUGGCUGCAUAAAGCCUACAGGGUAUAUUUUAUUUUUAUUCAUUGUUUUAUUUUAAUUCAUUGUUUCCUCUUCUUUUGUUCUUUUACGCAAAUGGUUUAGUUCUGAAUAAUGGCGUAACAAGAGAAAUCAAUUCUAGAAUCACAACAAUUAGUUAUCACAGAUUUUUUUUUUAAAAGUACUUAAGUUGUUCAUAGAUCAGAAAGUGACACAUCACCUUAGUGGUGUUAAUCGUAAAUAUAAACUGUAAUGGUUCUUAUACGAAAUAUAAUGAAAAAUGGUUAUUAUGGCUGAAAUAUUCAACCUAUGUUUCUAACUUUCCUUUUUAGUCCAUUUAAAAACGAAUGCCACUUUCUAUAUUUAGUAAUUCCUUAAUUCCAACGUCCCGCAUAGAGUGUUUAAGACAACAAGUUCGAUGGGAAUUUUGGUACAUUAUACGCAUCUUUAGUUUUAGGCCACAAUGUUCUAAAGGUCUCUUUCUUGAACUUUUCCGGUCAAAACUAAAACAACAUGCCCAGUGUAAUCCCACAAUUGGGGUCUAGGAACGGUAGAGUGUAUGCUUGGGAGGUAGAGAGACUAUUUCCGAUAGUCCUGUCAAACUAAGAGAUAAAAUGGAAUGUACGGAGCAAUGCAAAAUGGUCAAGUGAGGAAAAAAUAGUCAGUGAGCUUACUGUAUGAUAAAAUGAAGUGCCUUUCUCUCUCAACAUAUUUACAAAUAAGUGAUAUACUAUUUCAUACCCUUUUAGUUUUCUAGUUCUUCCCUUUGUUUAUUAUCCUAUUUCUACUAACAUGAUGACAACACUAUCAUUUCAAACUUACUGCCUUCUAAAUUUUGGUGACCAAAUUAUUUUAUGUGAUAUAUUGUUAGUUUGUCUUUAUUGUUUAUUAAUUUAUGACAUAUAAGUGAGAAAUACAUGUCUAUUCUGUUUGAACAGCUAAAUAAAGUUCUGAUAACUCUUUUUUUUUUUUUUUUAUACUUGAAACAAGAGAAAUGAUUGGGCAUAGGGCGUGAGAUAGUGCGGCUAUGCGGGUGGUGGUACUUAUAACUAAAUAAAACAGAAAAGACUAUUCUAAGAGUAAAUCAAAUUUAUAGGCUCCCAACUGCUUCAUCUUCGUCAGACUAAUUCAAACGAAAGUUUUGAGUCUUUGAAGUCAUUCUUGCCUCUAUUCGGUUUGAUCAGCUAAAUAAACUUCUGAUUAAAAAAUUAUUUCAUGCUUAUACCAAGAGAAAUAAUUGGGCAUAGGGCCUGAGUAGUGCGGGUGUCGGUACUGAUAACUAAGUAAAACAGAAAAUACUAUUCUAGUAGUAAAUCAAGUUUAUAGGCUCCCAAACAGCUCCAUCCUCAUCAGACUAAUUCAAAAAGAAAGUUUUGAGUCUCUGAAGUCAUUCUUGCCACUUUUUCUCUGAGAUUUUAAAGAUUGUUUUCGUGUAUUUUGAUAAACUAGUUUAUGUUUAUUUUUAUUUUCAGUAUAUUGAUUCAUUUCUUGUAGUGUAAAAUUUGCAAUAGCUGCUAAUUUGAGUUCUGUUGCAGUGAAAUACAGCUUAAGAGCCCGAACUGGCUCUUUGGACAGAGGAAGUAUGAUGACAGUAAUUCUGCAUCCAAGGUGUCUUCACAUGCAGUUUCUAAUGGGGCUUCAAAUGGUGAGAAUGAAGCAGAUGGUCUUGGUGAUCUUAGCUGGAUUUCUGGUGUUACCGAUUUGAAUCAAGAAGAUAUCUUUAAAAGGUGUGUUUAACCUCAUAAACGUUUCAUAUAGCUCACUUGUCCAUUUGUUUUUCUAUUCUCCUUUUCUCGUUGCAACAUGUGUUAGAAACAUACUUGAUGAAGGUGCAGAAGCUUUUAAUCAAUUUACUUAUCAUAAGAGAGUGAAAAUGAUGAACUCUACGGUUCAUCAUCAGCUGUAUGUGCAAUGCUAUGGCAAAUUAUAGUUUCACCAUUUUACUAAGGUUGAUUAGACCGCUUGGAGAUGGCAUUAGAAUCUGAGAUCUAAACUUUAUUCUGUGUUAAAAAAUUAAAAUAGAUAUUUACCUAGCUUAUGCUGGAAAUAUAACUUCUUACGCGAUUGAUUUGUUUCUUAAAGUGCAAUCAGAAAAAUUCAAAACAAAAAAGUUACUAAGCUAACAUCUAAGCAAGGGAAAUUGUUUAAAGUUGUUUGAGACCUUAUUUUCCAGUAUUUCUUAGGUUUUUUAUCUAUUUGUUUUAGUAUGUGGUAGAAAAACUGAACUGAAUUGUUAUUUGUUUCUUUCUUUAUAUUAGUCAGUGCUAGUGCCCUACUUGUUAUAUACGAGAGGAGUCACCUUCAAAGCUUACCAUAUUUGAAGAAGAAAUAAUAUUGACAAAUUGAAAGGUUUGGGGGUUCAGUGGUGAGCCAAUUGGCCCGCUCUGUAAAAACCUCUCUCAAGAGUUGUCUUUAAUUUCUCUGGAGAGCUGUAGUUUAAAAAAAUAUAUCUCGAUAGAGCUUUUCUAUAUUUGUCGAUCACUUUCUUUUUCCCUUUAUUUCAAUCAAGGAUUUGAAGUUAUGGGUUCGUUCGGCGACCUCAAGUUAAUAUACAAUAAUUCACUAUCAAAUAUUUAUAGAUAUUUAGUGGAUUUCUUAAUACAUAUAUAGGGUCACAAAACCUAUUCGAUUUACUUGAACGGAGAGGUUACAUGGCAGGUCUGCCCUGCAUGGGCAAACACACCUUAAGGGGUGUCACCCUACAAUACUUUGUUGGGAAGAAAUAUUUGAUAUACAUAUAUGGAUUUGCAAAAAAAAAAAAAAGUGAUAAAAUCAAUGUCAAUGACACUGCUUGGCAGCAACUAUCCGUUGGUUUGAUGGUAAAGGAUGCCUAAUGUCUUAAGGUGGUCGAGGAAUCAAUCCUGAAGCAUCGAUGAGUUUCUAAAUAUUUUUGAAACCUUGUAUGUGUGCCUCUUAACUGGUAGCCUGGUACUGAGAAACUAAAGCCAAUUAAUUGACCUCUGUUUGUUUGGAUACUGUGAAUGACAAUUUAAAAAUAUUCUAGAAAGGGGAUAUCUAUGCAGGUUUAAGUCAUAAUUUAAAAAUUAUUCUUUCUCCUCCUAAAUUUGUACUUUUUAGAAUGAAGCUCCUACUUGCUAGGAUUUUCACAAUAAGUUCUCUUACUAUUCCGUUUCUUCUUUUUAAUUAGAAUUUCUUGAAGAAAUCCAUUUUUUUCUUGUUUGUUGAAUUUUAAAUAUUACUUAGGAUUUAUCUAAAUUAAUCUUCUAAUCUGUAAUUUGGUGGAAGAGAUUAUUUUUAACGUGUCUUUCAAGAUUUUUAAAUCAUAUUUAACAUCUCAAAAUUUAUUUAGCUUGGAAGAAAGGACGAAUAAGUCUAAAGAAAUCAAUCUUUGAAAGAGUUCAUUUAAAUUCCUCAAAAGUUGAUACUAGAAUAGUUUAGCAUGCCAAAAUAUUAUCCACACUACCGUGAUGCCAUAAUAUCGUGUCUUCAGAAGGUACUUUUCUACUUCGAAAUCAUAUUUCUUUUUUCAAAAUAUAAUUUUUAUGGUCACUGCGUCAUACUUUCUAAUCCUCACUGGUUUGUUAAGUAUGAUAGAUUGAUGUAUAGUGUAACAAAAGAUGCAACCUUUUAAUAUAAUGUUGUCAUUGCAGUGAUUUUCCCUCUUAUUUAUUUUUUUAAAGCGACACUGCUUAUAAAAAUUCUUGACUAUGUCACCGUCACCCUGUACUGCAGUCUAAGCAUUAGUUAAUGUUGAAUCUUUUUUCGGUUAAUUUCUAAUUAUGCUUAAAACAAUUAUCUUCCUUGGAAAUGGUUAUCGUAUGUCGUAUAUAUUCCCACUAUUAGUUUGGCUGCAACCUAAGCACUCAAAGAAUCAGAUUCUUUCAGCAACCACGCAAGAAAGUACUUUCUGUCGAUGUCUUCCUCAACUUCUGAGUCAGAGCUAGCCAUCUCAGGUAGAGUGUUUGUUGUAUCAGAUUCUUCUUUGAUAGUAAAGGAGUUAUUAGUUGAUGCCAAUACUUUUCUCUCAAGGGUUGAUCAUCCUCUUCUUCAAAAUUUUCGUAUAGAGUAUGAAGCUGAUCAUAUAUGGCAGGAGCUAUAUCUUGGAGAAGAGUAUCAUUGGCUUUGGCAUCUAGCUAGAUAUUAUUUAUAUCCUCCUUUGUGUAUAACUCACAAGUUUUGAGACCAAUUCAUUCUCUUUUAUCGUCUUGGGACUGAAGGAUCCCGGGACCAUCUUUAGUUAUACUCGAAACCUCCGUCUCUUGUAGUUUAAAAGUCCUGCAUUCUUGAUUUCCACCAUUGAAAUGAUUUUAAUUGAAGUAUGGUGGCCUUGAUUGAUAAGCCUUCUUGAACUCCUUGGGUGCGUCCAUCUUCAGUCUUUCAAGGUGUUGGUCUUUAUUGAAAGAUUUGGCUCUAAUAUCAAUUGUUGGUUUGAUUGCAACUGAAGCACUCAAAGAACCAGGUUCUUUGAGCAACUGUGCAAAAAAGUAAAUUGUGGAAUUUAAAUCUAAUUCAAGUAUUUUAUGUGGAAAUCUCCUUGCUCAAAGAAGUAAAAAUCAUGGCAUACCUCAGUAGGACUUCCCUCCAAACUCUUCCACUAAACUUGAGCCCAAACUUCAAAUAGGUUUACCACUGCCAUUGUAAUAACUAAAGAAUUGUUCCCAACAGUUCUACCUCUACCCUCUCAAGUCUUCUCUUCAAUGACUCUACCUAGACAAUGUGCAAAGAGGGGUUACCUGGUAUCCUAUGCUUUUAGCAUAUUUUAGCUCUUCGCUGUAAUAAACACCGACAAAUUCACCAGUAGGGAGGAUUAGUGUGUUUUUCGAAGUCCUAUAUGGUAUGAAUAGUCUUUUCAUAUCCGGUGGGGCGACAACAUAUGCCUCAAUUAAGCCAAACCCUCUAUUCACACUUAAACAUCAUAUGCUUGUGUGGAUAGCUACUGAAAGGGUGUAUGGCACGACGAAGAACUUGGCUUUCCCCAAUCUAUCAAACAAGUCGGCGAUCAAGGGAAUAGGGUAUUUCUUCUUCACAGUUAUCUUGUUUUGUCCGCGAUAGUCGCAAAUCCUAGAAUGACGGUUCGACCCCGUCCUUGGCCUCGAGGAGUGGUGAGUAGCACGAAACUUGUUUCAAUCAAAUGGCAUAGUAUUAGGGUAGGAGGCUUUCUUUUGUUAUAAAAAUCUACAGACAAGAUUCUGGAACUUCCAAACCAAAGAAAUGCAAGAUGAGGAGGAGCUUUUUACGUUAUGCUUCAAUAGAUGAGCUGAUAUCACGCUGUCCCCUAGACAGUUGGUACACGUGGUUAGAAGCUCUAUACCUCCCUAGCAAAGGCAUUUCCCUCUUUCUUCCGUGAAGGCAGUGAAAGCCUUAUCCAAGUCUAUGAAUCCGGUAUGGAACACGGGAUUAACUACAAAGCAAAUGAAACUGAGAGUAGCUAGAGACAACAAUUUUCUGAUGGGAUAGUUCUGUUGUUGUGACCAUAAUAUCGCAUUACCAUGGCGGCUGCCUUGUUUGGAAAAUGGUUGAUAAGCAACCCGUCUGCUGUGGCGGGGCGGCUUUUUUUCUUUCACAAUAAGACCUGGACGAUUAUCCCUACCUUCGAUAGCUUACGAGUUUACUUUCCCCAACCCUCUCUCUCGAUGUGGUGCCUCACUCUGCUCUAUCAACACUUAAUCGCAAUGCCGGAAGGUAGGAUUUCAGGUCUUUUGGCAAUGCAAUAGAAGGCAUAUUACUAAUUGAUUCUUUGGCCAUUUUGUGUUCGGGCCGGAUUGACUAACCUAACCUACCCUUAAAAGAGGCUUGAUUUUAGGAUUGUAGCUUCGGUCGAUAAGGUAAGCGCUCAUUUCGUUCUUGCUUGCUUUCAUUCUAUUAUGAGAGAGAGGCUUUUUCUUCUUUAUUUCUGCUUUUAUCAUCUAUAUCCCUAUAUCCCUGCAUAAAUUUUCCCAAAACUCAUUGAUACCAGUAUGAUUAGAUGUACUAUAUUCUUUUCUAUCAAGGAUCAAGAUUAAUCUCAAGACAACACCUACUACAAUCAACUAUGAAGGUAAUCAAGAUCCCGCCUUGGAACCACUCGAAGAUACUAACUAUUAUAGCUAAAGAACUCUAUGGAUAGAACUUGAUAGGAACAAGAUCUUUAUUGUUGCAGGAACUUCUUCGAGUCUCUGUGUAGAAUUGAGAAGAUUAUGAAGGCUCUGUUUUUGGGGUGUGUCCAACGUCAAAGAAUAAAUCGUGUUGUAUAUAGGAGUAAGCAAUUGCCUUCUAGCUCUCAAAUCCAACUUAGAAUUGGUUCAAAUCUCACCAUGACUCAUCCUAAUUUUACUUGGUCACCUACUUCUUCAUCUGUACAGGCUUCUUGAUGCCCUUAUUCCAUGUUGGUUCCAUGUGCAUAAAUGAUGGUAAAUUUCCUUGUCAGGGAUCAUAGGGCUUCAACACCCACCAACCUUGUAAAACAAAAUUUAUUUGAUGGAUAAUGAGGAAAGUGGUAUGGACUACGUUAAGGGUGGUAACAGAACCGGAAUUUUUCGUUCCGGUCCGUUUACACCGUUUCCGGUGAUGUUUCGGUACGGGUUGCAACCGGUAUACCGGUACCCAAUGGUUCGGAAUACGGUACCAAUGCUUCUAUCCAAAAAAUUCCGGUUCCGGUACCAGUUGACCGGUCCGGCGAUGUGAAGACUGUUAAAUUUUUUUUUUUAAAUUUUGGUCAUUUGGAAUUGUUAUAUUAAUAUAUUAUAUUUUAGUAAAAUAUAAUACUAUAAGUUAUAUAAGUUAAUAUAUUAUAUUAUAUAAGUUAAUUAUAUAAUAUAAUUUAAAUUAAAAAAAAAACGUGAACGGUCGUCGUUUCCGGUACUGAUCCGGUGCCGGUCCGGUUCUACACCGGUAACCAAUGGACCGGUGCGGACCAACAAAAAUGUGCGGUAUUACCGGUUCCGGUAGUACCGCUUCCGGCGACAAACUCCGGUAAGGCUCUCCGGUUCCGGUUACACCGGUCCGGUGGUACCAGUUCCGGUCCGUUGCCACCCUUAGACUACGUACACUUUCCCCUCCCAGACCUCACUUUGGGGGAAUACACGGGGUAUGUUGCAUGUUGCUUUGUAUAAUGAGGAAAGUAGCACGCCCCCAAAAUUUUCCCAAAGAAAAAUGAACAUCUUGUCAGAUAUGCUCCCAAGCAUGUUUCUCAAGAAAAUUUCUGUCCUACUUUCUAGGACUGUAGAACACUUUCUUCGGCGAAAUCUAAACCGGAAUCUGACCUUUGUUUCUUCAGCCAACAGUUAUCACCCAAUGUAGUUACUGAGAUAACCACUUAGAUAGGAAUUUCUACAUCAUCAUGGGGGAAAAUAAAAUCUACUUUGCAGUAGGUUUCAAGUCUUAUGAUAUCACGAGGUUAGCUACUAGAGAGGAAACCUGGUUCAAAUGGGUGGAAAGAAUUCAAAACUUGAUGCUUAGAAUUACUUUCAACAAAAAAAACCAUGGAAUGGUUAAUCUUCGCAUUACGAGAAGCUUCAAAGGAUUCUGGUCUACACACGAGGACGUGGAAGCUUAAUGAUCAAUUUGCAGAUUUUCUUCUUUUCCGGUAAGCAUAACAAGUUCGGUAGAUUUAUUAGCAUUGUAACAGUACAAGGGGGAAAUAGAUCCGUCAUUAUAAUAAUACCAGAAAUUGCAUUUAAUAGGGGUUGGGGGGACACAGCAUUGAAGAUAGAAAGGUUUAUUAACGACCAAAAAGAAGCUGAUAAGACUUUUUGAAGUAACAGUAAAUAAACGGAGCAAAUAAUACAUACCAAAAUUGAUACUAAAGUACUGAUGCUUAACACUAGAUACACUGAUAUUAUAACAGGAAAUCUGAAAACAACCACCCGGACACUUCUAACACCUUAAAUUACUUCCUAAUACAUGAAUGAACUUUAGUUACACAAUACAUAACAGUACAAUUAAACAGAUCACAGCAUUUCUAGACAUUGACAGGCCAGAAAUCUCCCAGAAUUCCCUUUUCCAAUUUUCUGAAUAUCACCUUCUAACUGCCUUGCCCCUUUUUCUACUCUCAUGGUAGUUACCAAGUCUUUUAAUUGUUUAUUUUGACCUCCUAGAAUAAGUUUUUAUAACUUGAGUUACAUCAGAAGCUCAUAGCACAAGUAGACUCAACUCAGGAUGACAGAUCCAGAAAUUCUAUAUGCUGACUCAGUAAGAAACUAAUAAAUGGCAGUCACUGGCAGCACUGAAGCAGUGACUUGUCACAACAGGGAAGAAAUUCCCACUCUUGGGACCGAUACAGAGCAAAAACAGGGCUUACUCGGAAGAUGCAUCGUUGGGUCUUCAAUGUAGAUGAGAAGGAGAAACCUACACUAACAGACAUCAGAAGAUGGGCACCAGCACAUGGAAGAAGGCGUUUGGAAUCAAUAUAUACGAAAUGGGGAGUCUCUUUUCUGGUCGACGUCCCAAAUAGACACAUGGCAGAACACAUUCUUCAUGGAGGCUGGACCUGGACCUGGACCUGGAAGCACUUAAAGCUCCAUCUUGAAUGGUGGUUGCUGACAGUGGGAUGCUAAGUUGUAUGGACUCGGGUGCGGGUAUCCGAGAGGGGUGCGGAUGUGAGAGUCGGAUUCAAAUUUAGGGUCGUCACAUAUUCUCCCUUCCUCCGACGACAACAAAUUUUGUUCUUGAUCUUGGGUCAACGUCUCCGGAUUCGUUUGACCGAAUCAGAGACGCACCCCGCACCAGCAUCUGGUCGGGACGGGUUCGGUGGCGAAACCAACGAGUCCGCGCAACAUAGGUGGGAUGUUGCUCUCAACGAACGAACUCAACAUGGAUGAGAGUUGUGGGUCUUCCGCUAUUUCUCUGGAUGGAGAAUAUUUUUAUAAUCAUUGGAAAGUAAUGUGGAGGAUGGCUGGAAACUAAGGAAGAGACAUCUCUUAAGAAUCUCUUAAAAUGGGCAAGGUUAAAUGUUAAAAGUAAUGGGGAAAACAUUCUGAAUGAAGGCGGAAUAACAGAUAAGGGAUUUACUUUCAUCAUUCCGAUUUGGUCGGAAACACAUUCUUUGGUGAUGGACGGCAAAAUGAAGGAGAUGAAUGGCAAAGACCGCUGGAUAAUUAAAGAGAACAGGGGAAGGAACAAUGGUUUUAUCAUUGGCAAAACACUGGUACAAUCACAUGGGUGCAGCUGGUGUGUGCCAAUCAUCACACGCAUAGGAGUGGGGCCAAACUUUAAAAAUAAUGGGCUAAUUUUAGGUCACAAGGAAAAAGAAAGGGUAUAGGAUCUUUAUUUAAAAAGGUCCUAGUUCCUUUUAAUGAGGCCCAAAUCUUUAAACCCAUCCAAAUAUUUGAAGCGGUGAUUUCUAAGUUAGACCCCGUGCUAACAGAGGUAGAAGCUAAUAUCACAGAGAGGGAAUGUUUUGACAGCGUUGGCAAAGAGAUAAAUGUGAUUAUAGAUGAACAGGAAAAUCUUUUGGUGGAAUUCACAAACACUGGAGAGGGGGAAGAUUUUGUAGACGAAGUUACAAUUCUACAUGAAGCUGGAAAUUUUCUGCUAAUAAUAGUACACAACUAGAAAUGCAAAUUCCGAACAAUAUGGUAGAAGAGACAUGGAAAAUUGAGGACGCGAAGCGUUUAAAUUUUCGAAAACUCCCAAAAUCUAGGGACCGCAGGAGCUUAAGGGGUUGGCAAUUGAGAUGGAUUUUCAACGCAAUGGAUCGAGAACCAGCAGGAGGGGAAAAACAACCAGUGCAUGAUGAAUAUGAAGAUAAUAUCAUGGAAUGUGCGGGUUUAAACUGUAGGGAUAAAAGGAGGGUUGUUAACAAUGUGAUGCAGGAAUGAAAGACAGAUGUCAACCAAAUUAGAAGGGGCAAGUAAGGAGGUGAUUAAACAGGUGUGGGGAAAUAGGGUAAGGAGGUGAUUAAACAGGUGUGAGGAAAUAGGGUUGUUAAAUAUGUGCAAUUGGAGGCAAGUGGAAAUAGGGGGGGGGGAGCAUAUUAUUUUGGAUAGCAAUGUUUGGCAGGAGGAUGUUGUGCAGAUAGGUUCCUACACUCUAACUUGUAACUUCAAGUCAAAAGUUAUCGACUUUGAGAGGCAUAUGAUAGUGGUCCUAUGCACCAACCUGUAAUGUGGAAAGGCAGGAAUUGUGGUGGGAAAUAAGGGCAACUAGGAGUCUAUAUACUGGACCAUGGGUUGUAGGUGGAGAUUUCAACAUUGUCAGGUCUGCUUCAAAGAAGAGUUGUUCUAGGACUUCUGUCUACAUGAAUGAAUUCUCUGAUCUAAUUGAAGAUAUGAAGUGGAUUGACCUCCAACGUGAACGGGGGAGCUACAUCUGGACUAGUGGAAACAAUUGGGAAUCUGCAUCUAGAAUUGAUAGAAUAUUAUGCUCUACUGAAUAAGGAGAAAUUCCAUAAUGUCAAUCAGGAAGUGUUGCCAAGAGUUUGUUCAGAUGACACACCAAUUGCACUCACUAGAGGCAGCUGGGUAUAUACCACGUCUUAUUUCAAAUUUGAAGGAUGGUGGCUUGAAACUGAAGGAUUCAGUGAUAGAAAUAGGCUAUUCAAAUGUGGAAGAGUUCUAUAUUUCCCUUUAAGGAGAAGUAAAAGCACUUAUGGUAAUACUUUGACUUUCAUUUAAUAGGAAAUUAAAACUCAAAUUUGGUAAGAAAAUUUGGGCAUAAUUUCUAAUAAAUCUCCUUUAUUUUGACUUGAUUUUCUUGUCAGAACUUGAUCCACCUUCUUCACAUGCAUAAUUUUCGUUCUUCACAUAAUCUUCAUAAUUGCUGCUUGGCAUGCAUAAAAAUGGAGCCCGUUUGGGUUAAAAAUAUAUGAGCCUUUUCGGGUUAAAAAUAUUGGAGCUCUUUGAAGGAUUAAAACUGAGUUUUAUUCUUAAAGAUGUGACAACAGAAUUAUUGAAAAUAUGAUUUGACAGUUGUCUCCACAUGUAGUAUUUUGGACUAAAUCUUCAUUAUCAUCAAACUGGUUGCAACUUUUUUAUCUUAACGUGUCUUCAAUCUGAACCAUUAGAUCGUUGAACCAUAAGCUUUGAUACCUAUACCUUGUGAGAAAUAUAGGUGAAAGAUUUUUUUUUUUAUUUGAGAAAGUAACAUUUGUAUUAAAAACCAGCACUUGGGCAGUGCAAAAAAGACCAUUUUACAACUGAAAUAAAAGUUCCUGAACCCAGCAUAACUCUAAAACUCCUAGGAUAUCUUCUGCUUCUAUAGGAGAUUUCUUGUACACAAAAACAACAACAACAACAACAACAAACCCAGUGUAUUCCCACUUUGUGGGGUCUGGGGGGGGUAAGAUGUACGCAGUCCAUACCUCUACCUCUGAUGAAGUAGAAAGGCUGUUUCCGAAAGACCCCCGGCUCAAGUUACGAGAUAUCAAACAAACACAUAGUACAGCACAGAAGCAGAUGACAUAACAUAGAUACUGCAGCCAUAAGGAAUAUAAAACAGAGUAAAGCAGGGAUGCAGGAAUAUAAAGCAGAGGAAAGCACACAGAUUCGUAACAAACAUAGAACACGGAACACGGAACAGAACAUUGAAUACGGAAUCAUACCAGGAAUACACCCCCACCAAUUACCUCCCUACAUUAGCGACCCGAACAGGCCCUAAUCCUCUGCCGUAAUUCGCGUCUUCCAGACCUUCCUAUCUAGGGUCAUGUCCUCGGUAAGCUGUAACUGUUCCAUGUCCCGCCUAAUCACCUCACCCCAGUACUUCUUCGGUCUACCCCUACCCCGUCUAAAACCAUCCAACGCUAGCCUCUCACACCUACGGACCGGGGCAUCCAUGCCCCUCCUCUUCACGUGUCCGAACCAUCUCAAUCGUGCUUCCCGCAUCUUACACUCCACUGAAGUCACCCCAACCUUCUCCCGGAUAGUCUCAUUCCGAGCUCUAUCCCUUCGGGUCAGUCCACACAUCCAGCGCAACAUCCGCAUUUCUGCCACCUUCAUUCUUUGGGUGUGGGAGUUCUUAACUGGCCAACACUCCGCUCCAUACAGCAAGGCCGGACGGACUACCACCCUAUAGAAUUUACCUUUAAGCUUGGGCGGCACCUUCUUAUCACACAGCACCCCCGAUGCAAGUUUCCACUUCAUCCAUCCCGCCCCGAUACGGUGCGAGACAUCCUCGUCAAUCUCACCGUUACUCUGGAUCACGGACCCGAGGUACUUGAACUUAUCCCUUUUCUUUACCUCCUGCGCUUCUAGCCUCACCACUACCUCAUUCUCUCGCCUUACGUCAUUAAACUUACAUUCCACAUACUCUGUCUUGGUUCUGCUCACCCUGAACCCUUUAGACUCCAGAGUUUGCCUCCACAGCUCUAAUUUGUCGUUCACACCCCCUCGCGUCUCAUCUAUCAGGACUACAUCGUCUGCAAAAAGCAUACACCACGGCACCUCCCCUUGGAUACGCCGCGUUAACACAUCCAUUACUAGCGCAAACAAAAAGGGACUAAGAGUAGAUCCCUGAUGCAAUCCUGUCAGGACAGUGAAAUGCUCUGAGUCUCCUCCCGCCGUCCUCACCUGGGUUUUCGCUCCCUCAUACAUAUCCUUAAUUACUCUGCUAUAUGCCUGCGGUACUCCACUCACCUCCAAGCAUCUCCAAAGCACCUCCCUGGGGACUUUGUCGUACGCCUUUUCUAGGUCGAUGAACACCAUGUGCAAAUCCUUCUUCCUUUCCCUAUAUUGCUCCACCAACCGCCGUACCAGGUGAAUUGCCUCCGUCGUCGAGCGGCCGGGCAUAAAUCCGAACUGAUUUUCCGAGAUAGACACUAUCCGUCUCAGCCUCACCUCGACCACUCUCUCCCAGAUCUUCAUAGAGUGACUCAGUAACUUAAUCCCCCUAUAGUUAUUGCAACACUGAAUGUCCCCCUUAUUCUUAUAGAGGGGGAUCAUGGUACUCCACCUCCACGCCUCGGGCAUCUUUGCUGUCCUGAAAAUUUCAUUGAACAAUGCAGUCAACCACCUUACACCAGCCUCUCCAACGAACUUCCAAAACUCCACCGGUAUCUCAUCCGGCCCCGUCGCCCUACCCCUUCGCAUCCUGCGGACUGCCUGUCUAACCUCGUCUACCUUAAAACGUCUACAAUAGCUAAAAUCCCGACACUCCCCUGAGUGCUCCAGUUCCCCUAACACAAUAGCUCUGUCCCCCUCGUCAUUCAAGAGCCUAUGAAAGUACGACUGCCAUCUCUUCUUUAUGUGGCCGUCCUCCACCAACACUCUACCGUCCUCCCCCUUAAUGCACCGCACCUGAUCGAGGUCACGACCCUUCCUCUCCCUAGCCUUAGCGAGUCGGAACAACUUUUUCUCCCCUUCCUACUCCCUGUCCUACUCCUAUCUUCAAAAUUUCUAGCAUUCCUCUCUCUCCAGACAGUCCAACAAAUGCAAGCUGGGAUGCUUCUCCAAAUUCUCCUGCUCUUGGCCCCACUUCCAACUUCUUUCCAACUACAAAGAGUGUCAACAAUCUUGCUAGGCAUUAUCCAUUGUAUGCCUUUGAGAUUGAUAAAAAUCUUCCAUAGUUGAUCAGUAAUUUUGCAAUGUAAGAAUAGAUGUCCCACUAUCUUAGCUACUUCUCACAAACAACAGUGUGUAACUAAGACGAUAUUUCUCUUCCUUAGGUUUUCAUGUGUCAAGACUGCCUCUUUUGCUAAUAGCCAAGAGAAACAUGCCACCUUCAAAGGUGUUUGAGAUUUCCAAAUUUGUUUCCAUGGCCAAAUGUUGUUCUGCAUACUAGUAUCAUUUAGGCAUUUGUAUCCUGAACUUACUUUAUAUGCUCCUUUAUUAUGUCUAUUCCACCAUAAUCUGUCCAUCCUAUUUUUUAGCCCUUGGAAUGUAUCAAGAGGUUUGAGUAACUCAACCAUUCUUGUAAUUUCCCAGUCAUUCAAUCUUCUUCUGAAGAGUAGAUUCCACUCAUGAGGAGACCACAUGUCUGCCACAUUACUGUUCUGGUUUAGCGCUAAAUCAAACAAAUCUGGAAACACUACUAAUAAACUCCUAUUACCUAACCACUUGUCUUUUCAGAAAGCAGUUCCUCCAUCAUCAUUGACCGAAAUGGUAGUGUGAUUAAAAAGAAUAGGCCACCAACGUCUGAUAGGUCUACAGGCAGUAACCCCAUUUGAGUUAUUUGCUUCUUUAGUAACCCAACCAUCCAAUUCUCCGUACUUCAAUUUGAUCACCUUUUUCCAUAGGGAAUGUUGCUCAUGAGCAUAUCUCCCCAACCAUUUCAUUUUCAGAGCUUUGUUCUGGUUCUUCAAAUUUUUCAUUCCAAUACCUCCUUGUUUCUUUUCUGUUAUCAACCCUUUCCACUUGACUAGGUGAUAACCCUUUCUGGUUUUGUUUCCUUUCCAGAAAAAGCAUCUCUUAAUCUUAUCUUAAUCUUUUCUAGCCUCUGUACCACAUCUGUAGGGAUUGGAAAUAAAGUAAGCAUAUAAGUUGGAAGGGCAUCAAGAACUGCAUUAACCAAGGUAAGUCUACUCCCAAUAAACAAGUACUGGGCUUUCCAUCUAGAAAGCUUCUUUUUACAUUUCUCCAAAACCGAGUCCCAUAUCUCAUUUGAUUUUGAUUUAGCCUUCAGAGGCAUACCUAAGUAUAUAGAUGGCAAGGCUCCCACUCCACCUUCCAAGAUUGAGGCAAGAAGAUCAAUAUUUGGAACUAGAUUAAUAGGGUACACAUGGCUCUUCCUCCCAUUAAUAUGCAAACCUGAAAUGACUUUGAAGAGUACUAGAAUUACUUUUAAAUAUCUUAACUACUACUCUUCUGCCCCACAAAAGAUCACUGUAUCAUCAACAUAUUGGAGAUGUGUCACCUCCAGACUAUCUCUAUUUCUUGUUGACACCUCAAAUCCAUCCACUGUCUUUUGCAGUCUUGAUCAUAUUAUUAAGACCUUCCAUGGCAAAGAUAAACGAGAAAGGGGACAAAGGGUCUCCUUGUCUUAUACCUCUUUGGGAUGCAAAGAAGCCUUCAGGUGCACCAUUGAUUAGUAUUGAAAACUUCACUGUGGACAUGCAAAAACUAAUUCAUCUAAUCUACUUUUACCCAAAUCCCAUUCUCUUGAGUGUGCUAAGUAGAUUCAAUUCACAUGAUCAUAAGCUUUUUCAAUAUUCAAUUUGCUUAAGAUUCCAGGCUUUUUUUGAGCAAGCCUUGAAUCUACUUGAAUCUACUGCUUCAUUAGCAAUCAACACUGCGUCCAUAAUCUGUCUUCCUUGGAUGAAAGUCAUCUUGGAUGGAAGCCAUCUGUUGAGAAUCUACUAGCUUAGCCAUCACCCUUUUUAACCUCUCAGUUAGCACACUUUAGACAGUAGUUUAUAGAAACUUCCUAUCAAGCUGAUUGGUCCAAUGUCCUUUAGUACCUUAGCCCUUUUUUUCUUUGGAACCAAAAUAAUAUAUGUGGCAUUAAAGCUCUUUUCAAACUCACUUUUAUAGAAGUUAUGAUAAACAUCCAUAAUGUCUUGCUUUAUAACAUCCUAUCAUUUUAUGAAAAAACCCAUGGUGUACCCGAGCUUUGUCCAUAGCACACAUCUUCAAACAAUUGAACACUUUUUGUUCCUCAAAUCUUGCUUGUAGUUGUGCUUUCUCAUCUUCUGAUAUUGUGGAGCAGUUUCCACUCCACUCUGCUAAGAAUAGAACUCUGUCUAUUUGAUGUUGUAUUAUUAGUGUCUCAUCUGGACCAUGUAUAACUUCCUCCUUCUAGAGGCAGAUCUAUGAGUUCCAGGUUUGUAAUGGUAUCUGAUAGCUCUAUCAUCGCAGAGGUCCUUCUUACAGUCCCUUUUUUCUGUUGGAAACCUACACACAUUGAGAUCCCUACAUACUGCCCAGGGACCUUCAAGUAUCCCUUUCACCGCCCUAGCUCAUCCCAUACUUCUUUUCUUUCAACCUUAUAGUUUAGAGCAUAGACCCCUGUAAUGUGGCAAUUAAAGUUUUGGAACAAAGCUUUAAAUCUACAAGUUAAGGUAUGUACCCCUGUUUCAAUUACCUCUCCCUUCCACAUUCUACUAUCUCAUAGCAUAAUGAUACCACCCCUAGUACCACUAGCUUCUAAACAAGCGAAAUUAACCCCUCUCCUUCCCCAUAAUUGUUUCACUAUCUCUUGCAAGUUCCCUUGUAACUUUGUUUCUUGAAGACACACUGUAUUAGCCCUCCAUUGCUCAAUACAACCCUUCACCACUCUUCUUCCCCUCAUCAUUUAGUCCCCUGACAUUUCAUGACACCAAGUUUAGCUUCAUGGAUCAGACUGUGAACACCCUUUCCCCUUAUUUCUGACUUCUUUACUUUUGAAUUUAACAUCAGAAGUGAUUAAAUUCUUCAGUUCAUUGGCAUCUUUAAACCUGUUUUUCCUGAUCUCUGAGGAUGCCUCCGACCUUCUAGCUUGUCUGCACUUGCAUAAGUAACUCAAGAGCUUCCUCUUCAUGACCUUUGAAAUCAGUUCCGAACAUUUUCCCUAGCUUAAUUAUGUUCUGCCGAACACAUUUUGAGGUGGAUCUUCCCAUUUUGAUGAUAUCUGUUGUUGCUUCCGUUGCUAUUGGUGUUGCUUCUUCCACGUUCCAUAACUCUCCUCCCGUACAUGAAUUACCCAACAUGGUUUGUUGUUCCAUUUAAUUUUCAUGUGCCUCUUCCUUCCUCCUCGUUAUUUCCCCCGCUGUCUCAAUUUAUCCUUUCUCAAUACUUGAUUUGUUUUCUGUGUUGAUACCUGCACCUGGGUUAUUAAUGGAAAUUUGAAGCUCUUAUGUGUUUUUUGCUCUAUCGACUUCUAGAACUGCUGUUCUUAGCCUCGUAAUUUCUCCCCACAGGUCUUCAAUGAAUACACUUGAGUUGGGUUGGGCUUGGGACUUUUCUUUUGUUGUAGCACUUGAUUUUGUUGGGACGGCCAGCUUUUGGAUGUAUUUGGGGUCUCCUUUUCUUGACUUAAAAUUGUCACAUGUUCCUCACAUGGGUGUAACUUAGAAUUAUAGCCCACGUGUGUACUCCAAUCAACUGUCAAGGAUGCUAUUUUUGUGAUAACCUCGAAAGAGGGUUUUAUCCGCAGGUCAUUCUCCUUCGUCUUUUCUCUAUGAAGCAAGGACCUAUGUGUAAAACCCUCUUCUAGGGUUUCUCCCGUCACUAAUUCUUCCGCCAUGGGUUUUGCCGUUGCAACCGGCAUCCUCUCAAAAGUUGUAGCUUUUUCUAUCCUUAUUGGGAUUUUGAAGAUGUAACCCUCUUUAGUAAUGAAGAUCUCAUUGGGUAUUUUCCGACCAUCUCCCCUGACCUCGAUACGCGCCCAUUUGAGAUGGUUCCUCAGGGCAGUUUCCUCCUGUAUUCUACACCACCCUCCACAUUUAUCUCCUAUUUCUUGAAAGGUUUCUUUGGACUAAAAAUGCAUUGGCAGUCCGGUGGCUCUGAUCCAUGUUGUUUCUUGAUUGUGCUUGUAUGAUACACAACCAAAGAGGGGGUUUCACCAUUCUAGAUGAAUUUUUGACUUUCUCCGGAACCAAUCUCCUUGUAGUAUUUGUUUAGCCAUAUGCUUAUUUGGAAUGAGUUUGGAAUGAGACUAUCCGGGAGAAGGUUGGUGUGACUUCAGUGGAGUGCAAGAUGCGAGAAGCACGAUUGAGAUGGUUCGGACAUGUGAAGAGGAGGGGCAUGGAUGCCCCGGUCCGUAGGUGUGAGAAGCUAGCGUUGGAUGGUUUUAGGCGGGGUAGGGGUAGGCCGAAGAAGUACUGGGGUGAGGUGAUUAGGCGGGACAUGGAACAGUUACAGCUCACCGAGGACAUGACCCUAGAUAGGAAGGUUUGGAGGACGUGAAUUACGGCAGAGGAUUAGGGCCAGUUUGGGUCGCUAGUGUAGGAAAUUACUUGGUGGGGGUUUUAUUCUUGUUAUGAUUCCGUGGUCCGUGUUCCAUGUUUUAUUACGAAUCUGUGUGUUUUCCUCUGCUUUCCUCUGUUUUAUAUUACUUAUGGGUGCCGUAUUUAUGUUAUGUAACCUGCUUCUGUGCUUUACUAUGUGUUUGUGUGAUAUCUCGUGCCUUGAGCCGGGGUCUAUCGGAAACAACCUUUCUACUUCAUCAGAGGUAGAGGUAUGGACUGCGUACAUCUUACCCCCC
rnacentral:lncRNA from 1 species